GGCCCUAUCGUCUAGUGGUUAGGACAGCGCCUUUUCAAGGCGUCAACCCGGGUCCGAUUCCCGGUAGGGUCA
rnacentral:tRNA from 1 species